rnacentral:rRNA from 1 species
GACGAACGCUGGCGGCGUGCUUAACACAUGCAAGUCGAACGGAAAGGCCCUGCUUUUGUGGGGUGCUCGAUUGGCGAACGGGUGAGUAACACGUGAGUAACCUGCCCUUGACUUUGGGAUAACUUCAGGAAACUGGGGCUAAUACCGGAUAGGAGCUCCUGCUGCAUGGUGGGGGUUGGAAAGUUUCGGCGGUUGGGGAUGGACUCGCGGCUUAUCAGCUUGUUGGUGGGGUAGUGGCUUACCAAGGCUUUGACGGGUAGCCGGCCUGAGAGGGUGACCGGCCAAAUGGGGACUGAGAUACGGCCCAGACUCCAACGGGAGGCAGCAGUGGGGAAUAUGGCACAAUGGGCGGAAGCCUGAUGCAGCAACGCCGGGUGCGGGAUGACGGCCUUCGGGUUGUAAACCGCUUUCGCCUGUGACGAAGCGUGAGUGACGGUAAUGGGUAAAGAAGCACCGGCUAACUACGUG